GGCGGGGGCGCCGGGGCGGGGGGCGGCGGCGAGGCCCGGCGGCACAGGACGCCGCCCCGCCGCCGGAGGAGGGAGCAGGCAGCAGGCAGGAGGCGGAGCUCCGCCGCUCGGCCCCAGUGAUUUUCAAAUUGAAAACAAUGGGUAGAAAAGAUGCCUCUACAGCAAGGACUCCUGUUGACCAAUACAGGAAACAAAUAGCAGGAAAUUCUUCUGCCCAGGCUCUGCCUUCAGCAGGAUCCUCCUGGGACCAGGCUGGACCACUGGAGGACCAGUGAGAAGACCAAACUAGCACUGGCUGCUUGAAGACUCCCCAAGUGAGGAAGCGGACGGCAGCAGCAGCCUUUUCAAACUGACUUGGACAGUGUCCUGGAGAAGGAGG
rnacentral:lncRNA from 1 species